AUGGGGAAACUGGGCUUUGAGAAGGCUUGGAUUAGAGAGGAGCAACAAGAGCAGAAGGAUGAGGAAAAACUACCGAUGAAUGAAGAAGAAAUACAGAGGCAUGUAGAGAAAUUACAGAGCUACAUAGAAAAAAUGCAGAAGAAUGAAGAAGAAAUGCGGGAGAACAAGGAAAAAAUGAGGAGGAACGAAGAAAAGAUACAGGAGAUCGAUAAAAAAAUAGAGGAGAUCAAAGAAAAAAUACAGGAGAACGAAGUAAAAAUACUGGAGGACAAAGAAAAAAUACAGCAGAUCAAAGAAAAGAUACGGAACAAUGAAAUAAAAAUACAGAUGAACAAAGAAAAACAGGAAAAGAAAGAAAGAAUGCUGAAAAAUGUGGGAAAACUACAGAAAAAUGAAGUAAAAACAGAGAAUGAAAUAAAAAUAGAGAAGUUCAUGGAUAAAGUACAGGCAAUCAAAAAAAAAAUAAGGAAGAACAAAUCAAAAAUACUGACGGACGAAGAAGGAAUGCAAAUCAAAGAAGGAAUUAAGAACAAGGGAAAAAUACAGGAGCUGGACAAAAAAAUACAGGAGCUUGACAAAAAAAUGCAGGAGCUUGACGAAAAAAUGCAGGAGGGCAGAGAAAAAAUACAGCAGCUCAAAGAAAAGAUACGGAACAAUGAGAUAAAAAUACAGACAAACAAAGAAAAAAUACAGGAAAAAAAAGAAAGAAGGCUGAAGAAUGUGGAAAAAACACAGAAGAAUGAAAUGAAAACAGAGAACGAAAUACAGGAGUUCAAAGAAAAAAUACAGGCGAUCAAAGAAAAAAUGAGGAGGAACAAAGAAAUGCAGAUCAAAGAAAAAACACAUCAGAUCAAAGGAAAGAUACAGGAGCUCGAUGAAAAUAUACAGGAGAAUGAAAUAAAAAUGCAGGAUGACAGAGAAGAAGUACAGCAGAUCAAAGAAAAGAUACAGAAGAAUGAAAUAAUAAUGCAGAUGAUCAAAGAAAAAAUACAGGAAAAUGAAGAAAGAAGGCUGAAGAUUGUGGAAAAAAUACAGGAGAAUGAAGCAAAACCAGAGAACGAAAUAAAAAUACAGGAGGACAACAAUAAAAUACAGCAGAUCAAAGAAAAGUUACGGAAGAAUGAAAUAAAAUUAGAGAUGAUCAAAGAAAAAAUACAGGAAGAGGAAGAAAGAAGGCUGAAGAGUGCGGAAAAAAUACCGAAGAUUGAAGAAGAAAUGCAGAUCAAAGAAAAAAUUAGGAAGAACAAAGAAAAAAUACAGAAGCUCAACAGAAAAAUACAGGAGCUUGACGAAAAAAUACGGAAGAAUACAGAGAAUGAAAUAAAAAUACAAGAGAUGAAAGAAAAAAUAAAGGCAGCCAAAGGAAAAAUAAAGAACAAAGAAAAUAGCAAAAUAUCAAAGAACGAAACCAAAAUACUGGAGAGUGAAGUAAAAACAGGGAACGAAAUGGAAAUUCGUAAGAAUGAAAUAAAAAUACAGGAGAUCAAAGAAAAAAUACGGAAGAACAAAUUAAAAAUACAGGAAAGUAAAGAGAAAAUACCGAAGAGUGAGGAAAUAACAGAGAACAAAAUAAAAAUACGUAGGAAAGCAGAAAAAAUACAGGAGAUCGAGGGAAAAAUGCGGAAGAUCAAAGACGAAAUGCGGAAGAUUGAAGAAAAAAUACAGAAGAACAAAAUAAGAAUACAGGUAAACGAAAAAAUACCGAAGAAUGAAGAAAAAAUACUGAAAAAUAUGGAAGAAUGA
rnacentral:lncRNA from 1 species